AACGAACGCUGGCGGCAUGCCUAAUACAUGCAAGUCGAACGAGAUCUUCGGAUCUAGUGGCGCACGGGUGCGUAACGCGUGGGAAUCUGCCCUUGGGUUCGGAAUAACGUCGGGAAACUGACGCUAAUACCGGAUGAUGACGUAAGUCCAAAGAUUUAUCGCCCAGGGAUGAGCCCGCGUAGGAUUAGCUAGUUGGUGAGGUAAAGGCUCACCAAGGCGACGAUCCUUAGCUGGUCUGAGAGGAUGAUCAGCCACACUGGGACUGAGACACGGCCCAGACUCCUACGGGAGGCAGCAGUAGGGAAUAUUGGACAAUGGGGGCAACCCUGAUCCAGCAAUGCCGCGUGAGUGAUGAAGGCCUUAGGGUUGUAAAGCUCUUUUACCCGAGAUGAUAAUGACAGUAUCGGGAGAAUAAGCUCCGGCUAACUCCGUGCCAGCCGCCGCAGUAACAC
rnacentral:rRNA from 1 species